AGCGAACGCUGGCGGUAGGCCUAACACAUGCAAGUCGAACGGCAGCACAGGAGAGCUUGCUCUCUGGGUGGCGAGUGGCGGACGGGUGAGGAAUACAUCGGAAUCUACUCUGUCGUGAGGGAUAACGUAGGGAAACUUACGCUAAUACCGCAUACGACCUACGGGUGAAAGCAGGGGAUCUUCGCACCUUGCGCGAAUGAAUGAGCCGAUGUCGGAUUAGCUAGUUGGCGGGGUAAAGGCCCACCAAGGCGACGAUCCGUAGCUGGUCUGAGAGGAUGAUCAGCCACACUGGAACUGAGACACGGUCCAGACUCCUACGGGAGGCAGCAGUGGGGAAUAUUGGACAAUGGGCGCAAGCCUGAUCCAGCCAUACCGCGUGGGUGAAGAAGGCCUUCGGGUUGUAAAGCCCUUUUGUUGGGAAAGAAAUCCAGCUGGCUAAUACCCGGUUGGGAUGACGGUACCCAAAGAAUAAGCACCGGCUAACUUCGUGCCAGCAGCCGCCGUAA
rnacentral:rRNA from 1 species